CACGGUAUGCACAUAUAUAUUUGAUUAGUUUGAGAACUUGCAUUUCGAACGUUCUAAGAAAUUUAUAUAUAUAACAUCUUACUAAUGACUUAAACUAAAUACUUUCAUUUCUUUUAAAUAUUGAGCUUAAAAAUUUUGAGAUUACACACUGAAAAAGAAGAAAGUCAAAUUUGGAGUUCACGAAUAUCGUUAAAACUUUACAGUCCUACAACAGUAUAAAACAACAACACAACUUUACUAAAUACUAGGAAUGUAUAUUAAAUAAAUUAAUUUAAUGUGAAAUGGAGAACUUUUCAGCAAAACAAUAUUUUUUUUAUUUAUUUCAUUUAAUUAUAAAUAUUUUAACUGUUUAUUUAUGCUCUCUUCUAUAUAUUUUGUAAGAAAAUUAUAUUUUGAAUUUAAGAAUUUAUUGUUUAAACGCUAAUAAAUUGUGCAUAAUUGUUUGAUGUUAAAUGGUGUAAAUAAAAAAUAAAAUAAAAUUUAACAGCAGCUUUAACAGAACACAACACUGUAUAAUAAACCAAGAGUAGCAUUAAUUGGUGGGAAUGAAGUUAAUCAAGUGCAGAGACCGCCCAAAAUGCACUACAUUUAGUGUAUGUUCAGUGCACGCGAUCUAGCCCACUAAUAAAUUACUUGCAGAAUUUAGUGAAUAAUACAGAAACAGUACCAACCAAAAAGCUUAGUAGCAGUUAACUUAGUUACCUAGACGCAAAACACACUGCAGCUUCUCUUAGAUACAAUAUGUGCGUUUCUUUAGCAGUUAGUAAGACAAAGCAAGAAUAUUUAAUAACAACAUGAUUUAAAAUUAAAUUUCCAGAUUAUAUCAUUAUUUUGUGAAAGCAGUAUAAACAUUUUUCAAACUCCAAAAAAAAAAACAUAUAUUGUUAACUAAUUUUAAAUUAGAUAAACUAUAUUAAAGUCAGUUAAGUUUAUUAAGUUUGCUUUGUUAAUAUCAUUAAAAUAAUUUUAUUUAGUUAAAUGUUAAAUUUUUAGAAGGAAUUUUAUAAUUUUGUUAGAUUUUUUUAAAAUUAUUAAAUAACUAAAUGCAGCCAGUUAGUAUUCUCUUUCAAACAGAAAUAGAGUUUAUAAAAAAUCUCUCUAACUUAUCUUUUUUAUUACUCUACCUACCAAAUACUCACCUCUAUUAAAUACCUUUAAAACCAAGUUACCUACUUAAAUUGGCAUAAACAAAUAACACCGAAUUACUUACUAUUUUACUCUAUACUCUACUAUUACUCCAAAGUAUUAUUAUAUAUUGAUAGUAAAGAAUUUAACUAUAUUAAAACAUAAGAAAACAAAUACAUUUUGCAUGCUUACUGUAUGUUUUAAUAAUGUCUUUAAUAUAUAUUAAAUAGUAAAUUUUAAGCUGAAUUAUUAAACUAAAUAAUAAAAAUAAAAUAUUCAAAGUAACAAAAAGAAACGAAAACUGAAGAUGAACAACAAUGGAAUGAAUGAAAUGAAAAAUUAUGAGAGAAUUCAGUAGUAAGGGUUGCCAAGAAUAAAUGCAUAUAGAGAAGGAAAUUGCAAUUUUUAUGCAUGUGUUGUUAAAAAGUAUAUAACGAAGCUUUAAUAGGACCACAGAGUUCCA